GGGUGGGUAGUUUCCCCAUGGGUGUUCAUUGUGUUACCAAAAAAUGGAUAAUUGGCUACAUCCGAACACAAAAUUUAAAAAGACCAGAAACAGGAAUGUGUUACAUACCAAGGAUGAGGAUGUGAUCAGUCAGGGCGACUGUCGAACUGUCUGUAUUUGAAUGUCAUCCUAAUGAACUCUGAGGUUCAUUACCAAGUACAUCAGAGAUGUUGCCUCUUUAUGGCAAAGGCCAUUUAGACGGAGAAUAGUCAUCGUCAGUGUUCUUGCUCUGGAUCAGUGAUGAGUUCUAGUUUGUUUAUUUAAUUAAGAGAAAAAACUAAUGAAAUGAAUGAAUUAAUACCUAAAUAGCAAGUCAAUCUAGGCGGAGAACCAUGAAGCAGCGGAGAGAAUUUUGCAGUUUUCUUCUUUUGGCCAAGGGAUAUGCUUCUUUUAUUUAACACGAAAAUCUGUAUACCUUGUCUUAUUUUAAAAAUUUAAAGUUAUGAAAGAAUGUAUAUUCAUUUCCCCUCCCCCCCUUUUUCGGUGCUGUUUGCUUUGUACUUUGCAGAACGGACAGGCGCUGAUAAUCAUGCCGCAAUGAUCAAGACCCACAUGGUUCAAGGUGAGUAAUAGUCGAGUUCUCUGUCCUGUCUUUGCCGGGGAGUCUAAUUAGCGCAUUCAAUGUGUGCUGAAAAACUGUGGGAUAUUGUUGAUGGCUGUUCCUCUCACUACUUUGCACCGUGGGUGGUGGGAUUUCAGUCCAUCAUAGAGCAAGCUGGUCUGUUUUCACUCAGAGCACCAUGCGGAUGGAUUGUCCGUCCGAUAGUGACUCUUGAUUUUUGCAGAGUCAAACAGUUGAACAAUAGAAGGUACGGAAGGUAGUCAGAGAUCCCAUAAGGACCAAUGAUGAGAUUGUCCUAAACCAAGGUUCAUAGUAAACCUGGCUCAGCACAACAGACACCCUUCAGAAUCAGUUCUGUGGGUUAGGGACCCAGAGGCUCUUUGUUCUUCUCAUGUUGGGUGGCUUACGUAAGGGUGCUGAUUAUGUUAUUAAAAUGGGUGCCUGAAUACAUGUGGUCCAUGCAUGAGCCAGAGAGAAGAAUGUGCAAUAAAUCAUUGUUUAAAGGAUGUGUGCCCCACAGCUGAUUAAAUUAUUCCCCAGUCAUGGAGAGCCGCCACCUUGUCCCUCGGAGAAAGCGCCAUGUCAUGUCAUGUGAGUAAUAAAGUUCUUGGUUUGGGUGGGGAGCGCCCGGGCUUCUAUGGAAUCAUUAAAAAAGAGGAAAUGUACUUAAACGUGUCCAUGUCAUGCAUAGAGCAUGCGCGGAUGAGCAUGUGCUGGGAACCAGCGUUUAUGAUGAAUGCAACUUAGCACAGACGAGGCCCCCGAUGACCCCGUAGCUUUCCUUUGUUUCAAAACGGAAGCAUCUCAUUUUAUGUUUGUCGCAUUGGUUAUUUAAACAUCCUCCUCUUGAUAAAGACCCAGGCAGCUGCUCAUUUAGGGAGUCGGUACUCGGUUGUGGAGUAAGAUGGCAGGUUCACGGCUGUUCUUUGUAACGUCUGAAACUUGUUCGAAUUAAAUGCGGAAGGGGCACGCCUGGACCAAUGAUGUAAAGGGAAUGCAUCUGAAUAAAAAUUAUGAUCAGUCAUGUUUGAACCACUGAGGUCCACGGCGAAAAGAGAGCUGGUGUAUAACUUGCGGGGGGGUGACCUCAGGGAAGUGAGACUCUAGUUGAGAGGGUUCAUGGACAUUGGUUUUAUAUUACUACUGGAUAAAUGAAUGGGUCAAUAAACAGAUACGUGUGAAAGAAAAGAAAGAGGUCAGAACACAGACCAAUUUUGAAGCUGUGAAAGAAAACAAGGAAUAUUACUUCAGUUCUGUAACACCUUGGUCCAUUAAGAAAACAUAUACAUGAAGGGUUACCACUUUAUGUUAGAAGCAGCUAAAAAGAGGUGUUUAAUAGUCAAUGCUUUGCUCUUAGUUUGAAGUAGAUUACUAGCUGUUUGACUCAGGAAGAAAUGAGGAUUAAACAAAUGGUUAACUAAGUGGAUGGGUGCAAAAUAUGAACCAUUGAUGGAUGUAUUGUAUUCUUUUUGACAUCUGCUUUGUGCCCCAGAAUGGCUGCACCUUGUUUGUUUCCGUCCUUAUUUAAUGAUGAAGAUCUUGGCUCUUACCUUUGUGGCCAAGGAGAGCAGAGAGAUUGGGGUAAGUAACAGAUGAAAUAUUUAUUCGUGGUUUCAUCAUUUUGUUUAUGGAUGGCCUAUAAUUCUUAAAAAGAAGAGAUGUCUUCAUGCAAUCAUAAAGCAAAUCAAAGCAGCACAGGCAGAGACCAAUGAUAAAAACUGGCCUGAAAAGGAUCAUGGCUCAAUCAUUUUGCAAAACCGAAAAAACAGGUUUCCAUUAGAAAGGUUGAUUGCCCCCUCUUAGAGUAAGAGGAUUAUAGGCACUUCUAGGCUUGGUCAAGGAUCUUGUUCUUGGGUUGGUUGUGUUUUCCUUGGGUUAUAAAUAAUCAACCACAAAAUAAGCUGGUAAAAAAAAGAAACAUAAAAAUUAAAGAUAAAGAGCCAGUAAAAUCACAGCGGCCACUCAUGACCAAUGAUGUAAUUAUUCAUAAAACAAGAAUUUGUUUAAUUCAGUUUAACAGUUUGCCACUCUACUUAAGAAGUACAUAAACUUUGGGAGUUCCUGUCGUGGCACAGUGGUUCACGAAUCCGACUAGGAACCAUGAGGUUGCGGGUUCGAUCCCUGACCUUGCUCAGUGGGUUAAGGAUCCGGCAUUGCCGUGAGCCGUGGUGUAGCUCACAGACACGGCUCAGAUCCUGCAUUGCUGUGGCUGUGGUGUAGGCUGGCGGCUACAGCUCCGAUCCGACCCCUAGCCUGGGAACCUCCAUAUGCCGUGAGAGCAGCCCAAGAAAUGGCAAAAAGACACACAAAAAAGAAGUACACAGACUUAACAGUCAAAAAUUCCUCCCUUGUUUGGAAGUAGAGUCUUUACUUUUGACUUUAUUUUUGAAAAUGAGUACCUGACUAAAUUAACAACAAGGGAAAAUUUACAUAUAAAGAAAAUUAAAAUAACCCAAGUGUCCCAGUGAUACAAGUGUACGAAACAAGAAUUAUCAUCAACCCAAUUUUGCCUGUUCGAGAUCCACUUAACCUAAGAGAUUUAAUGUUACAUUGGACAUAGAUAAAUAUGUGUGUCUGUAUCUUUGUAUCUACGUGUGUGUGUGUGUGUGUGUGUGUGAGUGUGUAGAGGACGUGGUUUAUCAUGAGGACAUAGAUGGUAAAAUGUCUAUAGAUUUUGUUCUUGCAUUUUAGUGGGUUCAGGAGUGUUACUGUGUUCAUCAUUAUUACUGUUUAUUAUUGUAAAUCAGUCCGUGAAAAAUUAAAUGAGAAGAAGUCAAAUCAUGGGCCAGUGAAACAAGGAUUGUGAUUAUUACAGUUCUGCCCCACUGACACUCAUGAACUGAAACAUUUUUAAAAUAUUUGUUUUAAUAGUAUCUGGUAUAUAGUACUACAUGUUGUACUGACAUAAUUUGGAUAGUUUUGCAUGCUUCUCACCUAGGUUGUUUUUUUUUCCCCUCCAUCAGGCACAGAUACUAGUGACCUGAUUGGAGGUAAUGACAGGAGGCCCCCCUACCCCCUAUUUUAUGUUUUUCUGGCACUUUGUACCUGGGAGAGUGCUCCAGUAACUGAUGCUAAGUAUUCAUUUCAGCUCAGCAAGGACUGCUUCAAGUCUGUGUCAGGCUCUGGGCCGGUCAUGGCGUUCAUAUCUCAAUCUGAUCUCAUUCCCGCAUUCAAGUGGCUCCUUAGGCUUAGGUGGAGACCUGCGUAUAAAGGUAGUAAUUCAGUAUCAUAAGGCCGGUAGGUGGGCUUUCCAGACGCACAAACGGCAGGACCCCAGUUCAGUUUUACAUGUCAAAUGCUUUAUAAAAGUGAAGAUGCCUGAGCCACUAAGCAACUCCGUUGGCUAAAAGGUCCGUGAAGUUACUUAGCACACUUAGCACACUUAGCACAGAGAGCCUACCUAAGCCGUUUGUUAAAUGACCCAUUGACUCAAUGAUGAAAGACAGAGAGAAUGAAUGAAUGAAGCGACGAGUUAGUCAAUGAAUGAGUCUUGGAGUAAGCAAAGGAAAGAAAAAAAAGUGAAAAUGGGAAGGAGUGCCCAGGUGAGUGAACCCACGGAUGAGGCAUGAGUCAUGGAAUCAGUAAUGCACAGGUAUGAUGCAUAUACCUCUGGAUGAGCCAAGGGUGUAAGAGACGGCAAGAGGUGGGCGUGAGUGAUGGACGAGGAAGUCGAGGAAGGAAGGAAUGAAAGACCCGGGGGUCAGGGCUCCAUAAGUGGAAGAUGAGUGCUCAACGGAUGCGUGAAUUGAUGCGUGGAUUCCUGAACAAGUCUGUGAAUGGAUGGAUUAGCGAAAGUGAAUUAGUAACGAGGAGAUGAAUGAGCCAGGGAGUCAGUGAGGAACAAAGCGAAUGAAUGAUUAAGAGGUCAACAAAUAAGUGAGUGACUAAAUCGGACAAUGAAACGAGGACGGCGUUGAACAGUUUAACGAAGGGGUAAAUACAUCAGUCAGUGCAGGAGGCACCUUGAUGCGGGAAUGAAUAGGCAGAUGGAUGGAGCAGGGGGCAUCUUAGUGUCAUUGGAUCAGAGAAUCAUCAGCGAGCGGGUGAAGGAGGCAGUGAAGGAGUAUAUGUCACCCAGGGGAAAAUCCAUGCUCUGUGAAUGAGCGGGUGGGAAAGUGUCCGAAUCAGCAGACGACGAGUGAGUGAGUCGGUCACCCACGGGCGAGGCAGGGAGCAGAUGAGGUCACACUGGGCAUCCUUCCCUGACCACGCCGGACAGAGGGAGCCACGCCGCAGCCUCACAGCACCUUAGAAACACUGCCCAGGGCACCCGUUCUACUCUGUCCUGGGCAUUUGUUUCUAUGUCAUCACUGAACUGACCGGUCCCAAGAGCCAGGAAUGGGGUCAGCGUCUUCUCUGUCUCCCCAGGGCCUGCCCAGCCCAGGCCCAGGAGGCACCCAGUAAAUGAUGGCUGAAUAGGGAGUUCUUGUUGUGGCUCAGCAGUAAUGAGCCCGACUAGUAUCCAUGAGGACAUGGGUUCGAUCCCUGGCCUUACUCAGUGGGUUAAAGAUCUUGCGUUAGCGUGAGCUGUGGUGUAGGUGGCAGACAUGGCUCAGAUCUGGCGUUGCUGUGGCUGUGGUAAAGGCCGGCAGCUGCAUC
rnacentral:lncRNA from 1 species